CCUACGGGAGGCAGCAGUGGGGGAUAUUGCACAAUGGGCGAAAGCCUGAUGCAGCGACGCCGCGUGAGGGAAGACGGCCUUCGGGUUGUAAACCUCUGUCAUUCGGGACGAAUAGAUGACGGUACCGAAGAAGGAAGCUCCGGCUAACUACGUGCCAGCAGCCGCGGUAAUACGUAGGGAGCGAGCGUUGUCCGGAAUUACUGGGUGUAAAGGGAGCGUAGGCGGGAAAGCAAGUUGGAAGUGAAAUGCAUGGGCUUAACCCAUGAGCUGCUUUCAAAACUGUUUUUCUUGAGUGAAGUAGAGGCAGGCGGAAUUCCUAGUGUAGCGGUGAAAUGCGUAGAUAUUAGGAGGAACACCAGUGGCGAAGGCGGCCUGCUGGGCUUUAACUGACGCUGAGGCUCGAAAGCGUGGGUAGCAAACAGGA
rnacentral:rRNA from 1 species